CUCAAGCCCCUGGCAAAAGAAAAAAAAAAAUAUAAAUAUUUUCAAUUUUCAUAUAUUAUUGGAGCUGUUUGAUAUGUGAUUUACUAAUUCUUGCAAAGGAAUUUAGGAGGAGGUUGUGUUAAAUUGAAAUACCUCUCGUUAAAAUGAAAUUGGAUUUUACUAAGAAAGGUCCUCUUAGGAAGGAAUUAAGGCAUGUUUUGAAUAUCGACGAAAUAACGGAUGGUUCAAAAAACCCACCCGAGGAAAUUAUUAUUGAAAAGAAUCCUAACACAUUAGAAGUAAAUAAGACAGGAAACCAGAACUUAGAUUCAGCUGAUAUAAAUGAUUUGUUUCAGUUACAACUUGGAAAUGCAAAAUUUGUUUGGCUAGACAAAUUAAAAGUGGGUCUUUUAAUAAUACUUAUUAUUGUGUACAUUGGUUUCCUGAUUAAAAGUCUCAUAUAUGAAAUAAAGAGGAUCAGGGAUGUUCAGCACAUGGUAAAUAGGAUGAGGCCAAUAAUUGCAGCUCUCUAUAAGAUGGAUACAAAUGUUGCUAAAGAAGUGCAGAGAGCUGUCAACUCUUAUAGUACUUACAAUUUGCCCUUGCCAGAGGAAGGGUACACUCAUUUUUAGAUGCCUUCUUAACUAUUCUUGUGUAGAGAGAAUCAAGUAAGGAUUCUGUCGUAGUAGUGAUAAACAUAGCAAAAUGCAUAACAUGUUUAUGAAUAUUGAUUAAUGUUAUUGUAGGUUGACGUUCUUGUCAAAUAAGGUAGAGGAUAGGAAAUGUAAUCCCGAUCUCGCGACAUCACGUGCCAUUUUUUAGAUUUACCUGAAGCGUAACAUGACGAGAUGUCGUAGGAUAAACGAGAUCGGUCGUAGUAUCAGAAAAGUGAAUAAAUGCAACCGCAGUGUAGAUAUAUUUGAAAAUCCCUCUAAUUGUUAACAUCGCUUUACUCAUAAGGACA